GGGUAAUUUUCCGCAAUGGGCGCAAGCCUGACGGAGCAAUACCGCGUGAGGGAGGAAGGCUCUUGGGUCGUAAACCUCUUUUAUCAGGGAAGAACACAAUGACGGUACCUGAUGAAUCAGCAUCGGCUAACUCUGUGCCAGCAGCCGCGGUAAUACAGAGGAUGCAAGCGUUAUCCGGAAUUAUUGGGCGUAAAGCGUCCGCAGGUGGUUUUGGUAGUCUGCUGUCAAAGCGCGAGGCUCAACUUCGUAUCGGCGGUGGAAACUCCAAGACUAGAGCUAGGUAGGGGUCACGGGAAUUCCCAGUGUAGCGGUGAACUGCGUAGAUAUUGGGAAGAACACCAGCGGCGAAAGCGCGUGACUGGGCCUGAGCUGACACUCAUGGACGAAAGCUAGGGGAGCGAAAGGGAUUAGAUACCCCUGUAGUCCUAGCCGUAAACGAUGACAACUAGGUGUUGCCCGUAUCGACCCGGGCAGUGCCGUAGCCAACGCGUUAAGUUGUC
rnacentral:rRNA from 1 species